GGAUUAGAGGGUGAUCUGGUUGAAGCAUCUUUUACAAUACUGAUCACCAGGGUUGAUUCAGCUGACCUGACUGGAUAAGUGGGGUCCACUUCCUCCCUAAUCUCUCCAUGUGCAUCCCUCCCAAAGUUGUGUAUUGAGUCUGAAUGAUCCUCCUCAAUAUAGGAGGCCUCUUUCAGUCAAAAGUAUAGGAGUAGUAGAGCUUUCCUCUAGAAAGUUCAAACAAGCCAAAUCUCAUAGUCAUUAAAAAAUAUGUCCUGAU
rnacentral:snRNA from 1 species